AAUUGGAAUGUCAUAAUGACAAAUUGCAGUUAUGAAAAGUCAUAAAUACUCAUGAACACUAAUCAAAUAAUAAAUAUUGGACAGUAAAAUGUGGUUAACUGGUUUAUUUUUAUAGAAUUCAAGAGAAAAUUAUCUAAUGAGGAAAGUUUUUUGUCAUGGGUUUUUGUGGUUUUCUUAUUAAAAAUGGGGUAAUUUUUGGAGCUGGAAUGUAUGCAGGAGUGUAUGUAGCUCAAAAUUAUCAGGGUGCUCUUGUAUAUUUCUGUGAGAAAACAAGUAAAGCUUGUGACGAAGCAUUGGAUGAUUAUAAAAAGCGAUGAUAGAUAAAGUGGAAGACCCAAAGGUGUUAUUUAACAAAGUCUAUGACUCAAUUAAAGAGAAAAUUGACGAAAUAAAAAAUCCUAAAGAUAAAUGAAACUGAAUAUGGAGAUGUAGCUGAAGAAAAUAUGCAUUCAAUUUUGUAAAUAUGAUUUACUUUAGUUAUGGUUAUACAAAGAUAAUUUAAAUAGUAAUAAAUAAUAUUUACUGAAA